rnacentral:rRNA from 1 species
GACGAACGCUGGCGGCGUGCUUAACACAUGCAAGUCGAACGGAAAGGCCUGCUUUCCCUUGUGGAUUGCGGGUACUCGAGUGGCGAACGGGUGAGUAACACGUGAGUGAUCUGCCCCCAACUUGGGUAUAAGCCUGGGAAACUGGGUCUAAUUCCCGAUAGGACUGCAGGGUGGUGCCUGUGGUGGAAAACGAUUUUCUAGUGGUUGGGGAUGAGCUCGCGGCCUAUCAGCUUGUUGGUGGGGUAAUGGCCUACCAAGGCGGCGACGGGUAGCCGGCCUGGGAGGGUGGACGGCAAAGUUGGGACUGGGAUAAGGCCCAGACUCCUACGGGGGGCAGCAGGGGGGAAUAUUGCAAAAUGGGGGGAAGCCUGAGGCGGCGACGCCGGGGGGGGGAUGACGGCCUUCGGGUUUUAACCUCCUUUCGACCGGGAGGAAGCCCCCUGGUGGGAAGGGGGGGGACGGUGGUGGUAGAAGAAGCCCCGGCUAACUACGU